GAUGAACGCUGACAGCAUGCUUAACACAUGCGAGUCGAUUGGGAAGUGGUGCUUGCACCAUGGUAACCAUGGCGGACGGGUGAGUAACGCGUAAGGAACUUGCCUGCGGGACUGGGAUAACAGCAGGAAACUGCUGAUAAUACCGGAUAAGGUCAUUAAGCUGCAUAGCUUAGUGAUGAAAGGAGACGCCUGCGGAGAGCCUUGCGUCCUAUUAGCUAGUUGGAGGGGUAACGGCCCACCAAGGCGAAGAUAGGUAGCCGGCCAGAGAGGGUGGACGGCCACAAGGGGACUGAGAUACGGCCCUUACUCCUACGGGAGGCAGCAGUGGGGAAUAUUGGACAAUGGGGGCAACCCUGAUCCAGCAAUUCUGUGUGCACGAAGACGGUUUUCGGAUUGUAAAGUGCUUUCAGCAGGGAAGAAGGAAGUGACGGUACCUGCAGAAGAAGCGACGGCUAAAUACGUG
rnacentral:rRNA from 1 species